CCUGAGCAUGCUCAUUUGUUCUUCCAGCAGGCUGGGAAUCAUGUGUGCACAUCAUGAUGGCUGCCUCCUUGUGGCAUAUGCUGCUAAUGCUGUUUCCUACACUCUUAGGAAGUUCCUAUGGAGCUGAGGUUCCCCUCCAGACUCUUUGCACCAGAGGCCCUCCUGAAGAAGACCCUUCAGCCUCCCUUCCCUUCUCCCCUUAUGAAAACAAACCUUGGAAUUCCCUGGAUUCAGGAGAAUACCUGAAUGGCUAUGGCUUUCACCAUGUUUGGGCUGACUAUUUCCUCAACCACAAAGCUGGUGGCACAAUGGAUCAGACAGAUAUUCCUAACAAUCAAGUUUCUGGGAAUCCGUGUCCCGUGUGCAAGUAUCUCAAACUGCAUGUUGACUUUAGGGAUGUGAUGCUCUUGGAACAGUUUGUUCGUGCCCAUAUGAGUAUCAUCUUUCAUGCCCCAUACCCAGGAGUCUAUGAAGCAGCACAAGAAGCUGACCCAGGCCAUCCAAAAAGCCACAUUGAGCUGGGCUUCUCAGCACAUUCGAUCAGUCUGUGACAUUCCUGGCCGCCACCCCCAGCCUUCCACUUGUGUUAUCCCUGGCCUUUGUUCUUCUGAGAACCAUGCAGCUGCUUUCACCUGGAAAUCAAGGCUGCCUCAUCUGGAGACAUCCUGGGACCUGUAAGACAUGAAGUCCUUUAAUCCCAGCAGGCGACCGCUGAAAAGAGGAGCCAGCAAGUUCUCAGAUCUCUCCUUGAGUCUGGGGGCAGGGUUUUAUUUUAAAGGCUUUAUAUAUUGACUAAAUAUUAGUAAAGCCUUGGUCUCGAUCGGCUAAUGUCAUCCUGACUCAUUUCUUUUGUGGCCUCCCCGUUUAUCCCCAGAAUUCUCUUCCAGGUCCCCAGUUCACCUCUAGUUGCUGGCAACUACAGAUUGGCACCCGAACAGGGACGGACCUGAUACAGGAGAAUUUCCUGAGGUGACCCUAUCUGGCGAAGCUUCGCAGAAAAACGGCAAGAAGAUGCUAUCCUGCACGCAUUGAGCUGGGCUUCUCAGCCCCUUCCAUCAGCUGCGACAUUCCUGGCCGCCACCCCCAGCCUUCCGCUCCUGUUAUCCCCGCCUUUGUUCUUCUGAGAACCAUACAGCUGCUUUCACCUGGAAAUCAAGGCUGCCUCAGGGCAGACUCACCUGGAAACAUUCUGGGACCUGUGAGAAAUGAAGUCCUUUAAUCCCAGCAGGCGACCCACUGAGAAGAGGAGCCACGAGUUCUCGGCCAUCUCCUUGAAGUCUGGGGGCAGGG